rnacentral:rRNA from 1 species
UAGUCUCGCACAGAUGCAUAUCAAUAAGCGGAGGAAAAGAAACUAACAAGGAUUCCCCUAGUAACGGCGAGUGAAGCGGGAAGAGCUCAAAUUUGAAAUCUUAAAGGGUUUCCCUUUACGAAUUGUAGUUUAAAGAAGUGUUUUCUGUUGAGGUUUUGGUAAAAGUUCUUUGGAAUAGGACAUCAUAGAGGGUGAGAAUCCCGUAUUUGACCUUUACUUUCAACUUUGUGAUACACUUUCAAAGAGUCGGAUUGUUUGGGAAUGCAGUCCAAAAUGGGUGGUAAAUUUCAUCUAAAGCUAAAUAUUGGCGAGAGACCGAUAGCGAACAAGUACCGUGAGGGAAAGAUGAGAAGAACUUUGAAAAGAGAGUUAAACAGUACGUGAAAUUGUCAAAAGGGAAGCGUUUGACACCAGUGUUGUUUUUCUGAAAAUCAAUUAAAGAACUGUUUAUGCUAAGCUGUUUAGACUUUAUCAGCUAUCUGUUUAGUUUUGAGCUUUUCUUUAAUGCACUUUUCAGUUAACAAGUCAACAUCAAUUUCUUUUGCUGUAAAAAAGCUUGAGGAAGGUGGCUUGAGAUUCGUCUUAAGUGUUUAUAGCCUCUUGCCUAUGCAGUCGGAGAGAUUGAGGUCUGCAGCGUAGAUCCUUCGGGGCUAAAUGCAUUUGUGCUAAGUUAUAACAUUUUAUAGACAACUUGUUGACUAUGAUUUGUCUUGUAGCUUACUCGCUUAUGUUAUUUUACCUACGCUUAGGAUGUUGAUCUGUAGUGCGUGCGC